rnacentral:rRNA from 1 species
UAACGCCGAGAUGUGAUGGGGAGGCCGCAAGGCCAUAAACGGGCUGAUCCCACGCUGCCGAGAAAAGCCUCGUAGCGAGUCAAUAUGAUGUCCGUACCGCAAACCGACACAGGUAGGUGGGUGGAAUACACCAAGGGGCGUGAGAGAACACUCCCUAAGGAACUAUGCAAUUUAGCCCCGUAACUUCGGGAGAAAGGGUGCCACGAGUAGGUAAGUCUGUACAAGGCAAGCUGAACGUGGUUGCAAUAAAGUGGCUCUAGCGACUGUUUACCAAAAACACAGGACUCUGCAAACACGAUAGUGGAUGUAUAGGGUCUGACGCCUGCCCGGUGCUGGAAGGUUAACCGGAGGAGUUAGCCGCAAGGCAAAGCUUUGAAGGGAAGCCCCAGUAAACAGCGGCCGUAACUAUAACGGUCCUAAGGUAGCGAAAUUCCUUGUCGGGUAAGUUCCGACCUGCAUGAAUGGCGUAACGACUGGAGCGCUGUCUCAGGGAGUGACUCAGCGAAUUUGUUGUUCCGGUGAAGAAGCCGGGUGCCCGCAACUAGACGGAAAGACCCUGUGCACCUUUACUACACCUUGACAUUGGGUGUUGGAAGGAUCUGUGUAGGAUAGGUGGGAGGCUGUGAGACUUGGCCGCUAGGUCAGGUGGAGCCGACGUUGAAAUACCACCCUGAUUGUUCUGAUAUUCUAACCUGGCCCUGUGAUCCAGGGCAGAGACAGUGUCUGGCGGGUAGUUUGACUGGGGCGGUCGCCUCCCAAAAGGUAACGGAGGCGCCCAAAGGUUCCCUCAGGCUGGUCGGUAAUCAGCCGUCGAGUGUAAAGGCAGAAGGGAGCUUGACUGCGAGAGCGACAGUUCGAGCAGAGACGAAAGUCGGGCUUAGUGAUCCGGUGGUUCUGCGUGGAAGGGCCAUCGCUCAACGGAUAAAAGGUACGCCGGGGAUAACAGGCUGAUCUCCCCCAAGAGUUCACAUCGACGGGGAGGUUUGGCACCUCGAUGUCGACUCAUCGCAUCCUGGGGCUGAAGCUGGUCCCAAGGGUUAGGCUGUUCGCCUAUUAAAGCGGUACGAGAGUUGGGUUCAGAACGUCGUGAGACAGUUCGGUCCCUAUCUGUUGUGGGCGGAGGAGAGUUGAGAGGGGCGUUCACUAGUACGAGAGGACUGUGAAGGAUGAACCUCUGGUGUGCCGGUUGUCGUGCCAACGGCAGUGCCGGGUAGCUAUGUUCAGUUGGGAUAACCGCUGAAAGCAUCUAAGCGGGAAGCCUGCCUCAAGAUAAGCUCUCCCGGGGCGCAAGCCCCCUAAAGGACACUUGUAGACUACGAGUUUGAUAGGCUGGGUGUGGAAGGCUCGUAAGGGCUGUAGCUAACCAGUACUAAUCGUCCGUGCGGCUUAAC